rnacentral:rRNA from 1 species
GGUUUCCGUAGGUGAACCUGCGGAAGGAUCAUUCA